rnacentral:tRNA from 1 species
GGGGAUAUAGCUCAGUUGGUAGAGCUCCGCUCUUGAAAUUGGGUUGUUGCGAUUACGGGUAAAAAAAUCCAUCCUGGACCAAGCAAGGAUCCUUCUAGGCCAACAACUCUCAUCUCAGUAGGUGUUAUCGGCAUCUCAGCAGAUCUGAUGGUUCUA